ensembl:lncRNA
CUGAUAAGGAUUUUCAAGGGAACCAGCCUAUUUACCACGCUACUAUUGUUAGACUUUUGCUUAGCACACACUAUGGGCUCCAAACUGCCAGAUGUGAAGUGUGAGAUUGGUGCCAGAAAGUGUACUGUUGGCACCAACAGACCACUUUGUCACAAUUCUACUGUGCUGGGCUAAGUUCUUCGGGAAUAAGUUUAUCUUUAAUAGAAAAUUUCAGCUAUAGCAUGACCCUAAAGGAUGUUUCUUUACAGGACAAAUGCAUAUCCUGUAGGGUUUCUGCUUUGGUAGUGCUGUUCUCCCCUGCUCUAUCAAGUCUGGAGGUUGGAAGGGGAUGCUAUUCUUAGGUGGUAACAAUUGCAUUUAGAUGCUGAGUGCUUCACUGCUUUUUAUUAUUGUUUUUUUCCUGAGAGAAAAUGCAUACAGAGGAUGAUCAGAAAGAGUUGUGGUUGAAAGUUGAAGGCAGAUGGCUGAGAACAGAGAACAACGUGGACAAGGAAGUCCAAAGGAGCACAUAUUGAUGUCAAACAAAGAGAACUGGGCUAUCUCCUGCAUUUUAUUCCUGCCACCUUUCUCAAAAUUGAAUGAAAGUAUGAAAACAAGACUAAAACACAGCAAAUGAAAACAUCUACAGGAGAACUGCUUUUAGCAGAGUGCUUCAAGCAGCAAGUUUGAGUUUGCGAACGGAUUGAAACGCAAUCCACAGUCGGGGGGUGAACAGACAGACACUUCCGAAAGGAGAGGAGAAAGGUUGGAGGAGACGAUUAGAGAUCCAGGCACGCGCGCAGUAACACCCUCCCUGCACCAGCCGAGCCGCCAGUCCCCUCUCUGCGGGAGCUGCUCGGAUCCACCGCGCCGAACAGGGCUCCGCAGGGCCCCCCGCGGCGCUGGCAGAGCGGGG